rnacentral:tRNA from 1 species
GCACGACCCGCGGCGCGGUGCUCGUCGCCGCCGCCGCGACCGGCGGUGCGGGCUCCGGCUCGUCGGGCGGUUCCAGCCCUCCGGCGCGCA